rfam:Ictidomys tridecemlineatus contig085994, whole genome shotgun sequence.
GGUGUUGUGGCUCAGUAGUAGAGUGCUCGCCUGGCAUGCUUGAGACACUGAGUUCGAUCCUCAGCACCACAU